AGAGUUUGAUUAUGGCUCAGGAUGAACGCUAGCUACAGGCUUAACACAUGCAAGUCGAGGGGCAGCAUGGAGGUAGCUUGCUACCUUGAUGGCGACCGGCGCACGGGUGCGUAACACGUAUCCAAUCUGCCCGUUACUCAGGGAUAGCCUUUCGAAAGAAAGAUUAAUACCUGAUGGUUUCCUUAGGUCGCAUGACCUGCGGAAUAAAGAUUUAUCGGUAACGGAUGAGGAUGCGUCCGAUUAGAUAGUAGGCGGGGUAACGGCCCACCUAGUCGACGAUCGGUAGGGGCUCUGAGAGGAGGAUCCCCCACAUUGGAACUGAGACACGGUCCAAACUCCUACGGGAGGCAGCAGUGAGGAAUAUUGGUCAAUGGGCGCGAGCCUGAACCAGCCAAGUAGCCGUGAGGGACGACUGCCCUAUGGGUUGUAAACCUCUUUUGUUUGGGAAUAAAGUGAGCCACGUGUGGCUUUUUGUAUGUACCUUACGAAUAAGCAUCGGCUAAUUCCGUGCCAGCCGCAGC
rnacentral:rRNA from 1 species